ACAAUGAAGAGUUUGAUCCUGGCUCAGGAUGAACGCUAGCUACAGGCUUAACACAUGCAAGUCGAGGGGCAUCGGGAAGAAAGCUUGCUUUCUUUGCCGGCGACCGGCGCACGGGUGAGUAACACGUAUCCAACCUGCCCUUUACUCGGGGAUAGCCUUUCGAAAGAAAGAUUAAUACCCGAUAGCAUAAUGAUUCCGCAUGGUUUCAUUAUUAAAGGAUUCCGGUAAAGGAUGGGGAUGCGUUCCAUUAGGUUGUUGGUGAGGUAACGGCUCACCAAGCCUUCGAUGGAUAGGGGUUCUGAGAGGAAGGUCCCCCACAUUGGAACUGAGACACGGUCCAAACUCCUACGGGAGGCAGCAGUGAGGAAUAUUGGUCAAUGGGCGCUAGCCUGAACCAGC
rnacentral:rRNA from 1 species